rnacentral:lncRNA from 1 species
UAGUGGUCUGAUAAAUUAACCUCAGUUUUGGAAGCAAUCUGUAAAAAAAUGCAGCAUCGGUUUCUUCUGAAUUCUAAGCAAACCCCCUGAAGCUGUGUUUUGCACACCUGCCCUCCACUAAAGCAGGAACUGGACAGCCUGUAUUCACCUCCAAACUGCUAGGCAGUAAGUUUAGAAGUGCUGUUUUUGAGCAACGCCAAAGACUUCCACACUGUAAGAGCCUCACAAAAGACCCUGCUGUCCAGGACUGCGGGGACUGCUUGCAGAGGAGCGCAUUUUCCAAAUAAGUCGUAAGAUGAUAUCUCAGUGUCAACAGCAUGAAUCAUCUCCAAGUUUUAGAGUCAGUGACUAUAAAAUGGUACUAUUUUUCUAUGUGCCUGGAUUUGCUAGCCUCACAGCUAAGACGACAGCAGUACAACUCCAUUCAUAUAGGCUUGAAGGCGAAUUGCUUAGCUGGCAUCCUGCCAUACCUACAGCUUCCAGCUAAAGCGGGGAACAGGUUAUUUUUCCUUCCCUUCCGUGGUGAAAAGAUAACGAGAGUUAAGCUUUUACAGAGAACUUGAAAGAAAGCACCUAGGCAUAGCGUGAGGUCUUAAAGAGGGUCGAGAAAAAAAAGUUUCUUAGAAAGAAGUGGGAAAUGACAGCUUGCACGGCAUUUCCCAGCUUUAGGAGCCCGGCCAUCAGCUCCCAAAUGGUGUGCGGAGAGGGGGGGAAUCACUGGGAACUCGCUGAGUGUUUUUUGCUCCAAUGCAACCACGCUACGGCACAGACACCCUCCCGGACACUCCGAGCAGCUCUCAGAAAACUCGCUGCCGUGCUUUACACCGCUGUUCUGCCACAGCAAUAAUAGAGGGCGGGUUGGCAGGCUUCCUGGCCAGCACGGAGCCGCUGCCCGAAGUUACCGUCAGCCUGCCUGCUUGCCUAAAAUGGAAGCCGAGCCGCGGCCGCUGCCACAGCCACAGCCACAGCCCCGCUGCUGGCUACUACGGGAACGGGGAAAGCGCCGCGCCCCGACGGCGAGGCAGGGAAAAGAAGGGUGCUGCGGGGCGAGAAGGGAAGGGAAGGGAAGGGAAGGGAAGGGAAGGGAAGGGGGGGGAAAGCACGGCAGCGGGUUGUCUGGGAGCGGCUCGGAGUGUCCGGGAGGGUGUCUGUGCCGUAGCGUGGUUGCAUUGGAGCAAAAAACACUCAGCGAGUUCCCAGUGAUUCCCCCCCUCUCCGCACACCAUUUGGGAGCUGAUGGCCGGGCUCCUAAAGCUGGGAAAUGCCGUGCAAGCUGUCAUUUCCCACUACUGUCUAAGAAACUUUUUUUUAUCGGAACGGUUGAGAACGGAAGGGAAGGGAAGGGGAGGGGAGUUCAAGUUCUGGGUGGGAGGGGAAGGGAAGGGAAGGGAAGGGAAGGGAAGGGAAGGGGUGCCGCGAUCCGCCGGCGGGGCAGAGAGGGGGACCCCGCCGGCCGCUCCUCACCUCUGCCAGGUGCCAGGAGGGCGAGGAGCGCCGCCAGGAGAAGCCCGCCGCCCCGCAUGGCUGCCGCCCGCCGAGAAGCUCCGCGACCCGGCCCCAGCCCCAGCCCCGAUCCCGGCCACCGCCCAGGCGGGGCGGGACCGAGGCGUAGCGGGGAGCCCCGCCGGCAGCUUUCGGGGCCGCCCCCCGGAGCCUGCGGGGAGCCGCGCCCUACAAGUGGCCCCGUCCCCUCGCCGGGGAGAGCUCCCGGGCUGUGCGCGCCCGCAGCCGGCAGAAACCCCCCUCGCGGGGCUGGUGCCUCUUCCCCAGCCCUCGCAGGGCUUUGCCGGUUGGAAAAGUGGAAGGACACCAAGUUUGUGAAUCACCCUCACCAGUGCGCGAACCGAUGGAAUGCAGAACUAGGAGGGAAAGCCUACUUUACCUCACUGGAAUUGCCACACAUCAUGUCAGGCCCAUGUAGUUUCCUGUUUCCAAAAUUAGACUUCAUUACAGUUAGCAUCUUCAGAUGAGAUAGAAGCAACCUCCUGUUAGGACAGCUGUGAGAUAAUUGCACUUCACGCUGGAGCUCCUCCUAAUUCCUAAUGGUUUUCAGUUGGCUCUACCCUUCAGGCAGUGAUACAGUUUUUUGCCUCUAGUCAUUAUAAAGCUAAUAAAUUUUCCAGAAACACUAAGUUAUUUUUUUUC